rnacentral:rRNA from 1 species
UACGAAGGGGGCUAGCGUUGCUCGGAAUCACUGGGCGUAAAGCGCACGUAGGCGGAUCUUUAAGUCAGGGGUGAAAUCCUGGAGCUCAACUCCAGAACUGCCUUUGAUACUGGGGAUCUCGAGUCCGGAAGAGGUGAGUGGAACUCCGAGUGUAGAGGUGAAAUUCGUAGAUAUUCGGAAGAACACCAGUGGCGAAGGCGGACUCACUGGUCCGGUACUGACGCUGAGGUGCGAAAGCGUGGGGAGCAAACAGG